AUUGAACGCUGGCGGCAGGCCUAACACAUGCAAGUCGAGCGGUAGCACAGAGAGCUUGCUCUCGGGUGACGAGCGGCGGACGGGUGAGUAAUGUCUGGGAAACUGCCUGAUGGAGGGGGAUAACUACUGGAAACGGUAGCUAAUACCGCAUAACGUCGCAAGACCAAAGUGGGGGACCUUCGGGCCUCAUGCCAUCAGAUGUGCCCAGAUGGGAUUAGCUAGUAGGUGGGGUAACGGCUCACCUAGGCGACGAUCCCUAGCUGGUCUGAGGGGAUGACCAGCCAAACUGGAACUGAGAGACGGUCCAGGCUCCUACGGGAGGCAGCAGUGGGGAAUAUUGCACAAUGGGCGCAAGCCUGAUGCAGCCAUGCCGCGUGUGUGAAGAAGGCCUUCGGGUUGUAAAGCACUUUCAGCGGGGAGGAAGGCGGUGAGGUUAAUAACCUCACCGAUUGACGUUAACCGCAGAAGAAGCACCGGCUAACUCCGUGCCAGCAGCCGCCGUAA
rnacentral:rRNA from 1 species